GGCCAUGUGGCGCAGUGGUUAAAGCGCCUGGCCGCGUAUAGUCCGUACGCGAUUACUCGAUUUUCUCCAUAUGAGUGGGUUCGAGUCCCACCGUGGUUU